rfam:Bacillus sp. X1(2014), complete genome.
UGGGCAGUAUCCUAAAGGAACUGCACCUUUUAGUGUCAAACUAAAAUUAAAGGUAUCUGCCUAGAUCCGUUUAACGGACCGGGACAGAGGG